UACGAAGGGGGCUAGCGUUGCUCGGAAUCACUGGGCGUAAAGGGUGCGUAGGCGGGUCUUUAAGUCAGGUGUGAAAGCCCUGGGCUUAACCUAGGAAUUGCGCUUGAGACUGGAUAGCUUGGAGUGCGGCAGAGGGAGGUGGAAUUCCACGUGUAGCAGUGAAAUGCGUAGAGAUGUGGAGGAACACCGAUGGCGAAGGCAGCCCCCUGGGAUGACACUGACGCUCAUACACGAAAGCGUGGGGAGCAAACAGG
rnacentral:rRNA from 1 species